AGAGUUUGAUCCUGGCUCAGAACGAACGCUGGCGGCAUGCCUAACACAUGCAAGUCGAACGAAGCCUUCGGGCUUAGUGGCGCACGGGUGCGUAACACGUGGGAAUCUGCCCUUGGUUCGGAAUAACAGUUAGAAAUGACUGCUAAUACCGGAUAAUGACGUAAGUCCAAAGAUUUAUCGCCGAAGGAUGAGCCCGCGUAGGAUUAGGUAGUUGGUGGGGUAAUGGCCCACCAAGCCGACGAUCCUUAGCUGGUCUGAGAGGAUGAUCAGCCACACUGGGACUGAGACACGGCCCAGACUCCUACGGGAGGCAGCAGUGGGGAAUAUUGGACAAUGGGCGAAAGCCUGAUCCAGCAAUGCCGCGUGAGUGAUGAAGGCCUUAGGGUUGUAAAGCUCUUUUACCAGGGAUGAUAAUGACAGUACCUGGAGAAUAAGCUCCGGCUAACUCCGUG
rnacentral:rRNA from 1 species